rnacentral:lncRNA from 1 species
GACAUAGCAAAAUAUGGUUGUUUUCUCUUCUGCUUCCUUCUGCUUCUCAUUUGUGGAUGCUGAAAGCAGCUGGACCUGUUCCAUGUGAAUGGAAAUAAUUAUGGGCAUGUACAACAAAUUCAUUAAUCUCAAGAAGCUGCUAUUUCAUUUCCUGGGAGCUGUCUCUGCAGAACUUGUCCCCAGCUGCUGGGGCACUCCAAAAAGGCAGAAGUACCAAGAGAAAAUCAUACUUGAAUGGAAGCAUAUUUCUCUUUACAAGGAUAGAUUUCUAGACAGCAAUAUACUCAGCUGGGUGCAGCCACAAAAUCUUCCCAGGAAGACAUCUUUUUCUGUCAGCUGA